GCGAAUAAGUAGAAGCGCCCGCUUCUCACCUUUCGCCAUAGGGCAGAAAGGUUUCUUCUUGAAAGUCAAAAGUAAUAUGGGCGAAGAAGCGGGUGGAUUAUCCGCUUUUAUUUUUUGAU
rfam:Thermoanaerobacter tengcongensis MB4, complete genome.